rnacentral:lncRNA from 1 species
GUCCACUAUGGAGCGUUUGUAGUCUUUAUUAGUGUUUCUUUGUUGUCCUGUUCCACAAUUGUAGCAUUAAGUUGACCGGUGUAAUUUUCAUGUCACUCUAAUUUAACAUGCAAACUAUCCAAAAAAUUGUAGCAAUGGCCAAAUUCUAUUUCUUACACCUACAAUUUAUUUAUCUUAAUUUUAUUGCAAUGACUAAAUAUUAAAAACAUAUUUACUCUAUUUUUUUCCAUACCUAAUAUUGAUCAAGAUAUUUAUCUAAUACAAAUCAUAUAUAACAAGCAAGCUAUCAAUCAAAUUCUAGCUCAAAAACAUGUAUAAAUAAAAUCCUCUCCAUUCUCCCUCAUUCUAAAAAACUCAUUUUUUUCUAUCUCCAAAGCAUAAAACAAUUAAAUGAAGGGAUGAUGAAGUAGCUAACCUUUACAACACUUUGGAUAAGUGAAAUCCCCACGAAAAUGAGAAAAAAAAUAGGACUAAAGGGAACCUUUAGUCCUUGUUGGUGUUUUCAACCGAGACUAAAC